AGCAUAGAUAAGCUAUUUACCAAGGCAUUAAGCACAAACACAAGCAUUGUUCACUCAAACAUAAGCAUAGAAAGCCUAUUUAAGCCAUUUAAAACACAUUUUUGCAAAGGAUGACAUGCCCCAAGAUAGAUGAUGAUCAUGGAUGCUUGGAAUAAAUGAUGAUGCUCAUGCUAUGCACAUGUUUGAUGUAACCAUAACACUGGGGUGUUACAAAAACUAUAUUAAAAUAAAAAGAUACAUAAUCAUGAAAACCCAAAUAAAGAUUUUGUGCUUAUAUAUAUAUAUAUAUCUUUGCUUAGUUUGCUUAAUAAAUAAAUAAAGUGGCUAUGCUAAACUGAAUCUUAAUAAUAAAACUCUAGCAUGGAUAUGAUGAAUAGUUGCUCUGCCUAAUUUUCAAAUUUGAAGCUCUCUCUCUCAAGUUUAGACAUAACUGUUAUAAUUUAAAGUUUGCUCUAAACCUGAACUUGUGGGAAGAGAACUUGAUCCAAAGUCUAAGUUGUUAACGGGUAUGAUAUGGGAAGGUUGAGCUGCUGUUUAUCUGUUCCUAGAGAUGCUAGAAUUCUGGAGAAUUUUAUCUUUGAAAAUCUUUAAAGUAACACAUGAUGAGUUCCUGUAUGAUGAGAGUUUAAAUUCCUACCACAGCCAUACAUACAUGCUUGCUAGACUAUAAACCAUGCAUUUACUUUUUACUGCUUAUGAGCAUUGAGUGUGGUCAAGCUUUGUAGACCCUGAGGAGCUUGUCAUGCGGUUAAAAUCAAGAUCUACUUGCACGUUCACUCAUAUAUGUUGCUUCUACUCCAAAAGUACGCAUCCACAUACAUCCACUCAUUUCCAUCUCUAGAUCUACCUAAAAUUAUUCUACUCCUAUCCGGGAGAGAAUAACCAAAAACAUUCUCCUAUCCUUAUUAUUCCUUGUGAAAUAAAUGCUCAAGUUAUCUUGGUUACUACCACUUGCUAUAUUAUUCCAGGGAGAUGAGUGCUCUGAAAAAAAAAUGAAUACGACGAAAUAAAAAGGGGCAAGUGCCCGGAACCUCGGAAAAAAUAAAAAGUGAUACGAGAGGUAAAAAUGGACUAGUGUCCGACAGUAGAAUUAGGGGUACAAGAUACCCACCUGAGAGAAAAGAAAAAAAUAUAUAUAGAUCAUCUCAUUCUCCUCAAAAAGCUUCAAAGUGCAAGGAAGGUAUGUAUCCCCUCAAAAGAGCAAAAGUAGAAUUAGACUUUCACCAUUGUUAUCACCAUCACCACCAUACACCGUUCAUUCGCCACACAUGCACAUCUUGAUUUAACUUAUUGACUUGUUUCUCUGGAUCAAUGGUUUGACUAUGCAAUAAAUGCCUUGUAAGUGUGAAUACUUUAUCUCCCACCUAUGAGCUCCAGAUAUCAAAGCCUUAUUAGAGUAGGAUGAGAGAGAAGGCAAUGUCACUAUGCCUUAUACUACAAAUACCACAUACUUUGGGAGAAGGCAUAUACCAUCACUGUCUUGAUAAGGAUCCAGAAAUACCAUAAAAGCGAGAUCCAAGAGAGUCAUACAAAGGAAUCUCUGAGUUUUAUUUGAAAACUACAAAAACUCCAGAGCUAUAGCUGAUCAAGAAUAAGAGACAUGGCGCUUGGCUAGACUGUUCUAUCUUUUAACUGCUCAAGACAUAAGUGAUGGUUGCAAGCCCCAUGGUUAAUGGUAAAAUGAGUAAGUUUUAAGUCUUAACAGUUUACUCUAAUUCAGAGAUGAGACCUCAUUUGAAAGCAUGUGUACAGUCAACAUUUUAAGGCAUUACGACAACUUCUGAUCCAUCACUGAGACUAUCCUUGCUUAGGGACAAGCAAGAGGUAAGCUUGGGGGAGUUCGUUGACGACCCUUAAGUAUCAAAUAUAAUCAUCAAAUAAAUAAAGAAAAGGAUCAAAAUGCGUCCAACACCCUGACUUAGGGUUUUAUCUAACAGAAUUCCACGAGUUUUGGUGUUUGUCUAUUUCUAUAGGGGGUUAUCAGAGAAUAUGGAGGAAAGGUCCACACGUCGGGUUUACAUAGAGAUAUUAACGUGCACCGCAAUUAUGCAACAUCUAGAAGAGUCUAGAAGCCACGGGAACGAGCGGGAGGCCAAGCGGGCCCUGGGGCUGGGCGCCCGCCCUCCCCCUUGGGUGGGGCCCAAGGCUCUCACCCAAUUAGGCUCCGUCUCGUGGAUAAUGCUCCACCAACCUAAAGGAUUAAGAAAAACCGUGCGAUUAAGGUUGGUUUGAUCCGACGGCCCAUAUUCAUUUGGAGGGGCUAUAUAAGCACGCCCCCUGGCCCCUAGAGGAGGUGACUCAUUCUCAUUCCUCAAACCCUAAUUCAUUCAUCAAGAGGAGAGUCUCUAAUCAAGCCCUAGAGCCACCACAUCAACUAGAUCUCUAGUUUAGCGUAGCUACAUAGGAUU
rnacentral:lncRNA from 1 species